UAGGUUUGACGUCAGGUACAAUUGGACGCUAUAAAACAGAGGUACUCCCUGUCAGAAACAAAGACGAGACUCGAAUGUUGACAUUCAUGUUCAAGCUUUGGGGAAAGCACAAACACUCAUGUAAUGAGUACAGAGUGUUGGCGAUGGACGCAAUGUUGUGGUGAUUUAACUUAUAUUAUCUGAUGCUAAAGGGAAGGUGAAUAUAAAUCACUUUUGCGAUGGCAGGUUUUGAAGACUUGAAUAUAUAGUGGGAGAUGGAGCUUUUAAAGACUUCAUACAAGUUGACUAAAUAGAUAUUAUUUUGAUAGAGCUAUUAGGAAAAAAAUACAUUGUUUUCUAUGUAUCCGUACAGUGACACUAAUGCAAUGUUACUCAUUUAAUAUUAUAGUA